rnacentral:rRNA from 1 species
AGGAUUAAACUGUCUCUUGUAAUUAACCUAUGAAACUGAUCUUGUAGUCCAAAAGCUACAAUAUAAACACUAGACGAGAAGACCCUGUGGAGCUUUUAAACCAAAACCAAAUAUAUGCCUCUUGGUUUUUAGUUGGGGCAACUUCGGAGUACAAACAAACCUCCGACAAACAACAAAUCAAGACAAACAAGUCAAAACCUCACUUGACCCAAUAGUUUUAUAAACUAUUUGACCAAUGAACCAAGUUACCCCAGGGAUAACAGCGCUAUCCUCUUUUAGAGUCCCUAUCGACAAGAGGGCUUACGACCUCGAUGUUGGAUCAGGACACCCCAAUAAUGCAGCCGUUAUUAAAGGUUCGUUUGUUCAACGAUUAAAGUCCU